rnacentral:rRNA from 1 species
UUUAUUGGAGAGUUUGAUCCUGGCUCAGGAUGAACGCUGGCGGCGUGCCUAAUACAUGCAAGUCGAGCGGGGUCUGGCCCUUCGGGGCGGGACCCAGCGGCGAACGGGUGAG